GAUGAACGCUGGCGGCGUGCCUAAUACAUGCAAGUCGAGCGAACGGACGAGAAGCUUGCUUCUCUGAUGUUAGCGGCGGACGGGUGAGUAACACGUGGAUAACCUACCUAUAAGACUGGGAUAACUUCGGGAAACCGGAGCUAAUACCGGAUAAUAUUUUGAACCGCAUGGUUCAAAAGUGAAAGACGGUCUUGCUGUCACUUAUAGAUGGAUCCGCGCUGCAUUAGCUAGUUGGUAAGGUAACGGCUUACCAAGGCAACGAUGCAUAGCCGACCUGAGAGGGUGAUCGGCCACACUGGAACUGAGACACGGUCCAGACUCCUAAGGGAGGCAGCAGUAGGGAAUCUUCCGCAAUGGGCGAAAGCCUGACGGAGCAAGGCCGCGUGAGUGAUGAAGGUCUUCGGAUCGUAAAGCUCUGUUAUUAGGGAAGAACAGAUGUGUAAGUAACUGUGCACAUCUUGACGGUACCUAAUCAGAAAGCCACGGCUAACUACGUG
rnacentral:rRNA from 1 species